rnacentral:rRNA from 1 species
GCGUGGAUGAAGAAGGCCUUCGGGUUGUAAAGUCCUUUCGACGGGGACGAUGAUGACGGUACCCGUAGAAGAAGCCCCGGCUAACUUCGUGCCAGCAGCCGCGGUAAUACGAAGGGGGCUAGCGUUGUUCGGAAUUACUGGGCGUAAAGGGCGUGUAGGCGGACCAACCAGUCAGGGGUGAAAUCCCGGGGCUCAACCUCGGAACUGCCUUUGAUACUGUUGGUCUUGAGGACGGGAGAGGGUCGUGGAAUUCCCAGUGUAGAGGUGAAAUUCGU